AUUCCUGUAGUGCAAUAGAUAGCAUGUUGGACUUUUAAUUCGAAGGUCGUGGGUUGGAAUCCCACCUGGAAUG